UACGAAGGGGGGCUAGCGUUGUUCGGAAUUACUGGGCGUAAAGCGCACGUAGGCGGAUAUUUAAGUCAGGGGGUGAAAUCCCGGGGGCUCAACCCCGGAACUGCCUUUGAUACUGGGGUAUCUCGAGUCCAGAGAGGUGAGUGGAAAUUCCCGAGUGUAGAGGGUGAAAAUUCUAGAUAUUGGGAGGGAAACACCCAGUGGCGAAGGGCGGCUCACUGGGCUCGGGUACUGACGCUGAGGUGCGAAAACGUGGGGGGACAAACAGGG
rnacentral:rRNA from 1 species